rnacentral:rRNA from 1 species
UACGUAGGGGGCAAGCGUUGUCCGGAUUUAUUGGGCGUAAAGAGCGUGUAGGCGGCUUGGCAAGUCCGCUGUGAAAACUCGAGGCUCAACCUCGAGAUGUCGGUGGAAACUGCCUGGCUAGAGUCCGGAAGAGGAGUGUGGAAUUCCCGGUGUAGAGGUGAAAUUCGUAGAUAUCGGGAGGAACACCAGUGGCGAAGGCGGCGAUCUGGGAAGAUACUGACGCUGAGGUGCGAAAGCGAUGGGGAGCAAACGGGG